GCUUGUGCAUCGAACGGUUGGCAUGCUGUCCUUUUAUUGUCAUCAUAUGCCCUUGGCAUUGUGGUGUUCUCUCUUGGGUUCCUGUGUUGCCUACUGUUGAAAUAGUAUUUAUGUGGCUUGGAAUAUAUGUUCCAUUUAGGUCUCCAUGUGGGGCUGAUGUUGGAUUUUUAUGCAGCUYAUGCAUUCCAUCUUAGGUUUGCAUUUAUGCAACUUUUGUGUGGUAUGCUUGUAGUUGUUGUUCUUUUGGAUAUGGUACAUGCAAUGAAAGUGGCUUGAAUUGUCCCGCUUACUUCUUUCGGUUUAUAGUUGCCUUGAAUGACUUUUGCCUUGGUGCUUGUUUUGUUUUUCGUUCACGAAGAUAAUGCUUGUACCAUGAGCGUGGUCAUCGAUGGAUGC
rnacentral:misc_RNA from 1 species